AUGGAUUUUCCGGAAGAGUCACUCGCCAUAACAGGGGAAGGGAAUUCAGAACUCAAUCACCAAGUGGACCUUCCCAUUGUCUAUGCCUACAACAAAGGAAGAGGUGAGCUACCAACUCGUCACCUCCCCUCUCGUUCCACUUAUGUUUGUUCUUUCAUUGUAAAGUGUCGGACUCUGGUCUUUUUGGAACAUGAAAGUGUUCCGUGA